rnacentral:rRNA from 1 species
AACGAACGCUGGCGGCAUGCUUUACACAUGCAAGUCGAACGGUAACAGGCCGCAAGGUGCUGACGAGUGGCGAACGGGUGAGUAAUGCAUCGGAACGUGCCCAGUCGUGGGGGAUAACGCAGCGAAAGCUGCGCUAAUACCGCAUACGAUCUAUGGAUGAAAGCGGGGGACCGAAAGGCCUCGCGCGAUUGGAGCGGCCGAUGUCAGAUUAGGUAGUUGGUGGGGUAAAGGCUCACCAAGCCGACGAUCUGGAGCUGGGCUGAGAGGACGACCAGCCACACUGGGACUGAGACACGGCCCAGACUCCUACGGGAGGCAGCAGUGGGGAAUUUUGGACAAUGGGCGCAAGCCUGAUCCAGCUAUGCCGCGUGCAGGAAGAAGGCCUUCGGGUUGUAAACUGCUUUUGUACGGAACGAAAAGGCUCUGGUUAAUGCCUGGGGCUCAUGACGGUACCGUAAGAAUAAGCACCGGCUAACUACGUGCCAGCCGCCGCGGUAAUAC